UGGGGAAUAUUGCACAAUGGGCGGAAGCCUGAUGCAGCGACGCCGCGUGGGGGAUGAAGGCCUUCGGGUUGUAAACUCCUUUCGACAGGGACGAAGCUUUUGUGACGGUACCUGUAUAAGAAGCACCGGCUAACUACGUGCCAGCAGCCGCGGUAAUACGUAGGGUGCGAGCGUUGUCCGGAAUUACUGGGCGUAAAGAGCUCGUAGGUGGUUUGUCGCGUCGUCUGUGAAAUUCCGGGGCUUAACUCCGGGCGUGCAGGCGAUACGGGCUGACUUGAGUGCUGUAGGGGAGACUGGAAUUCCUGGUGUAGCGGUGACAUGCGCAGAUAUCAGGAGGAACACCGAUGGCGAAGGCAGGUCUCUGGGCAGUAACUGACGCUGAGGAGCGAAAGCAUGGGUAGCGAACAGG
rnacentral:rRNA from 1 species